UUCCAGUUUCACCUCUAAUAUUAUAACAGUUGGGUAAGUUACUCUAAAAUAGUUAUUAAUUACUAACUACAAAUGACAUCUUCAACAGUGUAAUUAGAUUAAUGUAAUAAUUUCUAUAUCUAGAAUGUAUUGGUCUACUUAUUACUAAUUACUAAAUCCCAUAUCAACCUCAACCACUUGAACAAUAAUAAUACGAGAGACAAGAAACUGCACUUUUAAUGCUUUCAAAUUAACAAUAUACAAUUGCAUGAAUAUUCUUGAAUUGACCAAAGUGUGUAGAGGGAGAAGGUAACAUUAAACAUAUACCUUUUAAAAAUGUAUGUUAAAUCCACUAUUGUUUUAAACAGAAUUGUUCUAUAGUCUAAGCAGUAUUUAAUACAAUUACAUCAGAUUUUACUUUAAAUUACAGAAGAAUUAAGAGUAAUCCCUUUAAUUGAAUUACAGUAUUUAGAUUACUUGGUAAUUAAUUACACCCAACACUGUAUAACAGUAAUUAAAAUGUAAACUUAA